ensembl:lncRNA
GAUCUUGAUUGUUUCUGAUGUGAAACAACAUUGAUUAUCAGAAUAUCUGCAGGCAUUACGUAGGCCGAAAAACUGCUCAGUUUCCAAGGAGGUCACAUUCUUCAUUGCUUUCUUCAGAUUUGGACAAGGACAAAAAUGAAAAAGAGAGGAACUCUCAGAGGGCAGAAUAAAGAUUCCUGGAGAAUAAUAAACUGUGAAUUCAGUUAUAGAAAGGAGGACCUUGGCUCAAUCAAGGGCACAUUACCAAGCUUCAAGGCCUUUCAAGAGCACGUUGGCAUCAAGAGGGAAAAAAAACCCACAAAGUCCAAAACAUUGCUCAUAUCAAAGCAACUGGCUAUUUUGUCAUUAAUAUUUUUAAAGCAGUUAUCUUAGUAGUAGCCUAUUGUUCUACGCAGUUUUCAAGGAAAAAAUCAUUUAGUUUAUUGUGAAAUCUAAGAGAAUCUGCAUAUACCAACAGAUGUUUAAGUGCUAACAGAAUAAGUGUUUAGUAUAUUUUUAGAUGUAAUUAACACAGCACAUGUUAUAACUAAUUUGUACCUUUAAAAUUGCUUGCAGCGGUUUUCUCUUUAUAAAUAAUUUGACCUUGAAUAACACAGUUUUGGAAGGAUUUUAUAAAAGCUUCUGAAUUAGGUACAGACUUAAUAUUGGGUUUCUCCACGCAUUUUUUUUUCUGUUCAUUUUCAUUACUGUACAAAACAGCUACUUUCAAAAAUCAAGAUGCUUUAUCACAAAAGUAAUAUAUAGCCAAGGAAAAGUUUCAUAUCUUUUAAGUAUUUAAGCAGAUGAUUAAUUUUAAGUCAAUUAAUUAUUACUUUUAGUCAAAGUAAGCUUUAAAACUCUCACUGAUGCUCUAGUAUAUUGAAAACACAUUUAAAAUUUUUAUACAAAUAUAGGUUGUUGUUUAUCUUAGGUACUUCAAUGUAAUUGCUGCCUUGUUUUAAUAGGAGGCUAUUCUUAGAAUUCAGAGUCAGUGCAUUCUUCUUAUUGUCCCACAUAUCUAAAUUUCACUGUUUUUAUGUGUUCUAGUUAAGAGGAACUCAUAAAAUAAGAUGUAAAGCAAAUUUAUUUCCCAAGCAGCCG